CCUGAUGGAGCACGCCGCGUGUGUGAUGAAGGGUUUCGGCUCGUAAAACACUGUUGUAAGAGAAGAAUGACAUUGAGAGUAACUGUUCAAUGUGUGACGGUAUCUUACCAGAAAGGAACGGCUAAAUACGUGCCAGCAGCCGCGGUAAUA
rnacentral:rRNA from 1 species